rnacentral:tRNA from 2 species
UAGAAAGUGGUGUAGUGGGAGCACUAGGAGUUUUGAUCUCCUAAGGUUGGGUUCAACCCCCUUCUUUCUAA